rnacentral:rRNA from 1 species
AUUGAACGCUGGCGGCAGGCCUAACACAUGCAAGUCGAGCGGUAGCACAGGGAGCUUGCUCCUGGGUGACGAGCGGCGGACGGGUGAGUAAUGUCUGGGAAACUGCCUGAUGGAGGGGGAUAACUACUGGAAACGGUAGCUAAUACCGCAUAACGUCGCAAGACCAAAGAGGGGGACCUUCGGGCCUCUUGCCAUCAGAUGUGCCCAGAUGGGAUUAGCUAGUAGGUGGGGUAACGGCUCACCUAGGCGACGAUCCCUAGCUGGUCUGAGAGGAUGGGCAGCCACACUGGAACUGAGACACGGUCCAGACUCCUACGGGAGGCAGCAGUGGGGAAUAUUGCACAAUGGGCGCAAGCCUGAUGCAGCCAUGCCGCGUGUAUGAAGAAGGCCUUCGGGUUGUAAAGUACUUUCAGCGGGGAGGAAGGUGUUGAGGUUAAUAACCUCAGCAAUUGACGUUACCCGCAGAAGAAGCACCGGCUAACUCCGUGCCAGCCGCCGUAAGAC